rnacentral:rRNA from 1 species
AGCGAAACGGGAAGAGCCCAAACCAACAAGCUUGCUUGUUGGGGUUGUAGGACACUCUAUACGGAGUUACAAAGGACGACAUUAGACGAAUCAUCUGGAAAGAUGAAUCAAAGAAGGUAAUAAUCCUGUAGUCGAAAAUGUUGUCUCUCUUGAGUGGAUCCUGAGUACGACGGAGCACGUGAAAUUCCGUCGGAAUCUGGGAGGACCAUCUCCUAAGGCUAAAUACUCUCUAGUGACCGAUAGUGAACCAGUACCGUGAGGGAAAGGUGAAAAGCACCCCGGAAGGGGAGU